rnacentral:sRNA from 1 species
GCCGCGCCUAGAUCGACGGAUCGAAAGCCGGGUCCCCUACUCGGCCGGCGCAGCUCUCCAAGAUAGAUG